CAGCAGCCGCGGUAAUACGUAGGUCCCGAGCGUUGUCCGGAUUUAUUGGGCGUAAAGCGAGCGCAGGCGGUUAGAUAAGUCUGAAGUUAAAGGCUGUGGCUUAACCACAGUACGCUUUGGAAACUGUUUAACUUGAGUGCAGAAGGGGAGAGUGGAAUUCCAUGUGUAGCGGUGAAAUGCGUAGAUAUAUGGAGGAACACCGGUGGCGAAAGCGGCUCUCUGGUCUGUAACUGACGCUGAGGCUCGAAAGCGUGGGGAGCAAACAGGAUUAGAUACCCGCGUAGUCCCUGUCUCUUAUACA
rnacentral:rRNA from 1 species